rnacentral:lncRNA from 1 species
CACCAUACAAACGAUCAAAGUAAUAGCAAAGAUCAUUUAUCUAAAAUCUUACCUUAUAAUCAGAUUCCGUUUGGCCUUUUUAUCACUCAUUUUUUAUUUAACGGUUCAAAUCAUUUUGUGCUAAGUUGACCAUGAUAAUGAUGUUUGAUUGAAGUAAAAUUUUGAUAGUAUAAUAUAAAUAUCAUCGAGAUCAUUAUUGUAAGUUUUUGGAUCCAUCAGU